rnacentral:rRNA from 1 species
AAGUCGAACGCCCCGCAAGGGGAGUGGCAGACGGGUGAGUAACGCGUGGGAACAUACCCUUUCCUGCGGAAUAGCUCCGGGAAACUGGAAUUAAUACCGCAUACGCCCUACGGGGGAAAGAUUUAUCGGGGAAGGAUUGGCCCGCGUUGGAUUAGCUAGUUGGUGGGGUAAAGGCCUACCAAGGCGACGAUCCAUAGCUGGUCUGAGAGGAUGAUCAGCCACAUUGGGACUGAGACACGGCCCAAACUCC